UAAGGAAUAUUGCUCAAUGGGAGAAAUCCUGAAGCAGCAACGCCGCGUGGAGGAUGAAGGGUCUAUGACUUGUAAACUCCUGUAAAGAAGGAAAAAAUUCCCAUUUGAUGGGAGAUGAUGGUACUUCUGGAGUAAGCCCCGGCUAACUACGUGCCAGCAGCCGCGGUAAUACGUAGGGGGCAAGCGUUGUCCGGAUUUACUGGGUGUAAAGGGUGCUCAGGCGGAUUUGUAAGUCAGAGGUGAAAUCUUACAGCUUAACUGUGAAACUGCCUUUGAUACUGCAAGCCUAGAGUAUGGAAGAGAGUGAUGGAAUAUCUGGUGUAGCAGUGAAAUGCGUAGAUAUCAGAUAGAACACCGAUGGCGAAGGCAGUCACUUGGUCCAUUACUGACGCUAAAGCACGAAAGCGUGGGUA
rnacentral:rRNA from 1 species